GAUGUGAGAGAAGAAUGCCAGCGACGGAAUAUCAAGGGUCGUCAGCUGGGUUCAACAAUAUUGGCCGUUCAAUCUUCAGCCUCCGACGCGAUCAGUUUAAUUCAAUGGAAGCCCAGAGCCAUAGCGGUGGUCAAGGAGCUGUAGACCUCGACUCUUUCCAAACCCACGUCGCCGAUUGCUUCAUCCACCUCUCCUCUUCCUCCCAAGACAUCCUUUCCCUCCAAUGGCUCCGAGACCUCCUCGACGCCUUCCUCCAAAUCCAGCAAGAAUUCAAGAACCUCCUCCUCUCCUCCAUCAACAAGCCCCUCCUCUCCAAGCCCACCGUCGACCGCUUCC
rnacentral:lncRNA from 1 species